rnacentral:lncRNA from 1 species
CAUAAAUAAACGGUGUAUCCUCUAUGAUGCUGCGAUUGCAGCCCACACAUGGAAGAAAGAACACCCCCGCAAUUAGAUUUUUCUCAAGUGACGUUGGUGCUUAUUUUGCUGUGGUUACGGUGUUGGUGCGAGCUGGUUUUGACGAGACCAUGCAGGAGGCUCUCCCUGGUUUGCUGUUCAGUGCUGGAUGACAUGCUCUCCUGUGUGCUGGAUACUGGUGAAAAAGCAGCUGAAUGAUGUUGGCAGUGAUAUUCAAGGUAGAGGA